rnacentral:rRNA from 1 species
GACGAACGCUGGCGGCGUGCUUAACACAUGCAAGUCGAACGGAAAGGCCCUGCUUUUUUGGUGUUCUCGAUGGGCAAACGGGUGAGUAACAGGUGAGUAACCGGCUCUUGACUUUGGUGUAACUUCAGGAAACUGGACUUAAUACCGUAUAGCAUCUCCCCUUCCAUUGUGAGGGUGGGAAAUUUUCGGCUGGUGUGGUUGGACUCGCGGCUUAUCGGCUUGUUGGUGGGGUAGUUACUGACCAAGGCAUUGACGGGUCGCCGGCCUGUGAGGGGGACCGGCGACAUUGGUCCUGAGAGACGGACCAGAGUGCUAUGGGAGGCAGCAGUGGGAAAUAUUGCCCAACGGGAGGAAGCCUGUUGAAGAAGCGCUGCGUGUGUGAUGACCGCUUUUGGGUUGUAAAAAGCUUUAGGCUGUGACGAAGCGUGAGUGACGGUAAUGGAUAAAGAAGCACCGGCUAACUACGUG